AGUGAACGCUGGCGGUAGGCCUAACACAUGCAAGUCGAACGGCAGCACAGUAAGAGCUUGCUCUUACGGGUGGCGAGUGGCGGACGGGUGAGGAAUACAUCGGAAUCUACUUUUUCGUGGGGGAUAACGUAGGGAAACUUACGCUAAUACCGCAUACGACCUACGGGUGAAAGCAGGGGAUCUUCGGACCUUGCGCGAUUGAAUGAGCCGAUGUCGGAUUAGCUAGUUGGCGGGGUAAAGGCCCACCAAGGCGACGAUCCGUGGCUGGUCUGAGAGGAUGAUCAGCCACACUGGAACUGAGACACGGCCCAGACUCCUACGGGAGGCAGCAGUGGGGAAUAUUGGACAAUGGGCGCAAGCCUGAUCCGGCCAUACCGCGUGGGUGAAGAAGGCCUUCGGGUUGUAAAGCCCUUUUGUUGGGAAAGAAAAGCAGCAGGUUAAUACCCCGCUGUUCUGACGGUACCCAAAGAAUAAGCACCGGCUAACUUCGUG
rnacentral:rRNA from 1 species